UUGGAAAUACCUUCAGAGACACACUUACGGUGUCUUUUCAUAGCAUCCUAAACCCUGUCGAGGUGACCAUGACGAUUAAUCACCACACUUUUUAAGAUCUAAGGCGAUUAUGAAUCUUAUAGUCACUACUAGCAACACCUUCUUAAUCCAUCUUAGUUGUAAAAUACCACCAACCAUUGCUACUCAGAGGGCUGGAGGGAUGGCUCAGCCCUUAAAGGCACCUGCUGCUCUUCCAGAGGACCCACGUUCAACUCACGGCACCCGCGAGGUAGCUAACAAGCAUAUGUAACUCCAGUUUCAGACCGUCUGGCACCCUCUUCCGGCCUCUGCGGAUACCAGGCACACAUGGUUUCCGUACAUCCAGGCAAAACACCCAUACAAACAUGUGUUUAAAAGCGUCACUCCAGGGGUUGGGGAUUUAGCUCAGUGAUAGAGCGCUUGCCUAGCAAGCGCAAGGCCCUGGGUUCGGUCCCCAGCUCCGAAAAAAAGGAAAAAAAAAAAAAAGCGUCACUCCAUCUGGUAAUAGCCUACUAGCCAGUAAAAACUCUCCGUUGGAAAAGUCUGGAACAGGGCUGGGAUAUCUCGGAGCUGGUAGAAUUUAUCAGGCAGAGCAGGGAAGGCUGUGUUUGUACCGCCUGUCAGGAGGGCACAGACCUGUAAAUUCACUCAUUUCUUCAGCCAGUUGACAAACGCUGUGAAUCUACCAGAACUGGACUAACGCAGGGAGCCCUCCUCCAGGUGGGGAGACACUCACACGAUUACCUCAGCCACAACACACAAUUUGGUGUCCUCCGUAGUGCGGUUGCUUGGAGUGGGGACCCAGGGACACAACUCUGAAAUGAGUUGUGGAAAGUGCAGUCGUAGAGGGCUUCCCGGAGGAAGCUUCAUUUGUUCUGGGUUCCGGAUGGAAAGCAGAGCCUGGCCCAGCCAACAAUGCCUGGAACCGCAGUGCUUGGGAGGAUGAGGCAGGAAGAUCCUGAGUUCGAGGCCAUCAUAGCCUAGUUACAGAACUGAGGCCAGCCUCAACUGUGACACAAGAUCCGGUCCCAAAACUGACUAAAGAAAGAACAAAAGAAAAGCGUAACGUAACCGACAAAGCUGCACUGUUGGGUCUGCUGAACAUGCUCGACCUCGCCCAGGCACCAUUUUGAAGUUUCUAAAACAGAGGCUAUGAUUGGCCUACGGUGGGCCCAAGUGUUCACACGGGUCCAAUCGAGUGCAGCUUUGGGGAGCUGCGGAAAAUAAUGGCUACAGUCUCCUCCCAAAGCGGCGCUAAACCGACCAGCUGCCUUACGAUGCACUGAUUUUGUGGUUCCAGUUUCUCAGAAUUGGUGUUUCCUUCGUGCUGCCUUCUCCAGGAACAAAAUGCAGGCCUGAGUAGUUAGUCCUUUCAGGCCUGUCCUUGUCUGAAAGGGCACAGGGAGUGACUUGCUCACAUGGUUCAGUCCCCAAGCCCACUCCUUUCACCUCCCUCCUCCACAGAGUCAGCACUGCCCAAGUGUGCCUUGGCCUCAGAGGCAGUUGAACGAAUCCAGAUGGUAGAAAGCACCGUUCCCAGGAGGCGGCCGGCAGCUGCUGAAGGAUAUGGCCUUGGAGGGAGCCUUGUUUUGUCAUCAGUUCUCUUCCUGCUCUACCAUGGCUCUGUCUCUGCCUGUAUCACGGAGCAGGCCCAUCAUCAAUCAGGUCUGCUUACCAUGCCCCAAACUGAGCUUUUAUCAACCUACACACAUAGCCAAUAUCCUCCAAAUAUUAAAAUCUAACAUCUCGGGCUGGAGAGAUGGCUCAGCGGUAAAGAGCACUGACUGCUCUUCCAGAGGACCUGAGUUCAAAUCCCAGCAACCACAUGGUGGCUCCCAACCAUCUGUAAUGAGAUCCUAUGCCCUCUUCUGGUGUUUCUGAAGACAGCUACAGUGUACUUAUAGAUAAUAAAUAAAUAAAUAAAUCUUUUUUUUUUAAAAAA